rnacentral:rRNA from 2 species
AUGCAAGUCGAACGAGUUCUCGUUGAUGAUCGGUGCUUGCACCGAGAUUCAACAUGGAACGAGUGGCGGACGGGUGAGUAACACGUGGGUAACCUGCCCUUAAGUGGGGGAUAACAUUUGGAAACAGAUGCUAAUACCGCAUAGAUCCAAGAACCGCAUGGUUCUUGGCUGAAAGAUGGCGUAAGCUAUCGCUUUUGGAUGGACCCGCGGCGUAUUAGCUAGUUGGUGAGGUAAUGGCUCACCAAGGCGAUGAUACGUAGCCGAACUGAGAGGUUGAUCGGCCACAUUGGGACUGAGACACGGCCCAAACUCCUACGGGAGGCAGCAGUAGGGAAUCUUCCACAAUGGACGCAAGUCUGAUGGAGCAACGCCGCGUGAGUGAAGAAGGCUUUCGGGUCGUAAAACUCUGUUGUUGGAGAAGAAUGGUCGGCAGAGUAACUGUUGCCGGCGUGACGGUAUCCAACCAGAAAGCCACGGCUAACUACGUGCCAGCAGCCGCGGUAAUACGUAGGUGGCAAGCGUUAUCCGGAUUUAUUGGGCGUAAAGCGAGCGCAGGCGGUUUUUUAAGUCUGAUGUGAAAGCCCUCGGCUUAACCGAGGAAGCGCAUCGGAAACUGGGAAACUUGAGUGCAGAAGAGGACAGUGGAACUCCAUGUGUAGCGGUGAAAUGCGUAGAUAUAUGGAAGAACACCAGUGGCGAAGGCGGCUGUCUGGUCUGUAACUGACGCUGAGGCUCGAAAGCAUGGGUAGCGAACAGGAUUAGAUACCCUGGUAGUCCAUGCCGUAAACGAUGAAUGCUAGGUGUUGGAGGGUUUCCGCCCUUCAGUGCCGCAGCUAACGCAUUAAGCAUUCCGCCUGGGGAGUACGACCGCAAGGUUGAAACUCAAAGGAAUUGACGGGGGCCCGCACAAGCGGUGGAGCAUGUGGUUUAUUUCGAAGCAACGCGAG